rnacentral:rRNA from 1 species
AUUGAACGCUGGCGGCAUGCCUAACACAUGCAAGUCGAACGCGAAAGAGGGGCAACUCUCGAGUAGAGUGGCGGACGGGUGAGUAAUACGUAGGAAUCUGCCCUAGAGUGGGGAUAACCUGUCGAAAGACGGGCUAAUACCGCAUAAUCUCUAUGGAGCAAAGGUGUCCUGUAGCAAUACAGGGUUUCGCUUUAGGAUGAGCCUACGUCGGAUUAGCUAGUUGGUAGGGUAAAGGCCUACCAAGGCAACGAUCCGUAGCUGGUCUGAGAGGACGAUCAGCCACACUGGAACUGAGACACGGUCCAGACUCCUACGGGAGGCAGCAGUGGGGAAUAUUGGACAAUGGGGGAAACCCUGAUCCAGCAAUGCCGCGUGUGCGAUGAAGGCCUGCGGGUUGUAAAGCACUUUCGGUGGGAAAGAAAUGCUCAAAGAUAAUACCUUUGAGAGCUGACGUUACCCAUAGAAGAAGCACCGGCAAACUCUGUGCCAGCAGCCGCCGUAA